UACGGGAGGCAGCAGUAGGGAAUAUUGCACAAUGGGGGAAACCCUGACGCAGCAACGCCGCGUGAAGGAUGAAGGUUUUCGGAUUGUAAACUUCUUUUGUUAGGGACGAAAAAUGACGGUACCUAACGAAUAAGCUCCGGCUAACUACGUGCCAGCAGCCGCGGUAAU
rnacentral:rRNA from 1 species